rnacentral:lncRNA from 1 species
UAGAAUGAUACAGACAGAAAAGAAAAAUUCGACCACCUCCCCGAAGGGAACGCUGAUGGGAUGCGAAGCAGCAGCGUUGCGCACGGGUGGCGUCACGGGUUGAACGGUGCUGACGCGGGUGCUGCGGUUAGCGCUGUAAGAUUCGUUUGAAG